rnacentral:misc_RNA from 1 species
UUUCCGUAGGUGAACCUGCGGAAGGAUCAUUACUGAGUGAGGGCCCUCUGGGUCCAACCUCCCACCCGUGUUUAUUAUACCUAGUUGCUUCGGUGAGCCCGCCUCACGGCCGCCGGGGGGCAUCUGCCCCCGGGCCCGCGCCCACCGAAGACACCUAGAACUCUGUAUGAAGAUUGCAGUCUGAGCAAAAACUAAAUAAGUUAAAACUUUCAACAACGGAUCUCUUGGUUCCG